rnacentral:lncRNA from 1 species
AUUUUGGGAAGGAAGCCGCACCACCAGUUUCCACCCGCCACAGUGCAUGAUGGGAUGGGAUGGAAUCCACCACAAACCUCCCUGAGCAGGAAAUCACAUUGUCAUGCUGGAGGGCCAUGUCAGGAUGAGCCUGCAGGAAGGGUACUACGUGAGGCAGGAGGAUGUCUUCCCUGUAAAGCACAGCGUUGAGAUUGCCUGCAAUGACAACAAGCUCAGUCCGAUGAUGCUGUGACACACCACCCCAGAGCAUGAAGGACCCUCCACCUCCAAAUCGAUCCUGCUCCAGAGUACAGGCAUCGGUGUAAUGCACAUUCCUUUGACGAUAAACGCAAAUCCGACCAUCACCCCUGGUGAGACAAAACCGCGACUCGUCAGUGAAGAGAACUUUUUGCCAGUCCUGUCUGGUCCAGCGAUGGUGGGUUUGUUUCCAUAGGCGACGUUGUUGCCGGUGAUGUCUGGUGAGGACCUGCCUUACAACAGGCCUACAAGCCCUGAGUCCAUUCUCUCUCAGCCUAUUGCGGACAGUCUGAGCACUGAUGGAGGGAUUAUGCAUUCCUGGUGUAACUCGGGCAGUUGUUGUUGCCAUCCUGUACCUGUCCCGCAGGUGUGAUGUUCGGAUGUCCCAAUCCUGUGCAGGUGUUGUUACACGUGGUCUGCCACUGCACGUUCACACAGAUGAGUAGGGACUAGAGGUCGACCGAUUAAUCGGAAUGGCCGAUUAAUUAGGGCCGAUUUCAACUUUUCAUAACAAUCGGUAAUUGGUAUUUUUGGCCAACGAUUUGACGAUUUAUUUUUGUUUACAUUUUUUAUUAUAUAUAUAUUUUUUUUUACACCUUUAUUUAACUAGACAGGUCAGAUUAAGAACACAUUCUUAUUUUCAAUGACAGCCUAGGAACGGGGGUUAACUGGGGGGAUUCGGGGAUUCAUUUUUGCAACCUUCCGGUUACUAGUCCAACGCUCUAACCAUCUGUCUUACAUUGCACUCCAUGAGGAGCCUGCAUGGCAGGCUGACUACCUGUUACGCGAGUGCAGCAAGAAGCCAAGGUAAGUUGCUAGCUAGCAUUAAACUUAUCUUAUAAAAAACUAUCAAUCUUAACAUUAUCACUAGUUAACUACACAUGGUUGAUGAUAUUACCAGUUUAUCUAACGUGUCCUGCGUUGCAUAUAAUCGAUGCGGUGCCUGUUAAUUUCUCAUUGAAUCACAGCCUACUUCGACAAACGGGUGUUGAUUUAACAAACGCAUUUGCAAAAAAAGCACUGUCAUUGCACCAACGUACCUAACCAUAAACAUCAAUGCCUUUCUUUAAAACCAAUACACAAGUAUAUAUUUUUAGACCAGCAUAUUUAGUUAAUAUUGCCUGCUAACAUGAAAUUGUGUCACUUAUCUUGCGUUCAUUGCACGCAGUCAGGGUAUAUGCAACAGUUUGGGCCGCCUCGCUCGUUGCGAACUAAUUUGCCAGAAUUUUACGUAAUUAUGACAUAACAUUGAAGGUUGUGCAAUGUAACAGGAAUAUUUAGACUUAGGGAUGCCACCCGUUAGAUAAAAUACGGAACGGUUCAUUCAAACAGCACUUUCGUGCGUUUUGCCAGCAGCUCUAAGCUGUGCUUCAGGCAUUGCGCUGUUUAUGACUUCAAGCCGGGUGGGUAUAAUUUGUGGAACGUUCCAACAGGAAUCUAUUCCAAAAACUUCGAAAAUAACAAGGUUGCCAAAAAACAAUGCAUACAAAGUUGUAUAGCGUCAGAAUAAGAUACCGGGUAGGGAGUGGUCUAUUUCAUUGCGUUUUUCAUUCAUCACGUUUAUUCUGAAAAAUGUCUGUCCUCACUCUGGUUGCCUAUGGACAAACAUUAACAAUAAGGUACGUGGUGAGUUGUUGCCUAUUCGGCAGCUAGUUAGCUAGGUUUGUAUGCGUUGCUACUUUGUAUGCGUUGUUGGUUGGCAACCUUUUACUUUAUGUUUUUUGGAACAGAUUCCUGUUGGAACGUUCCACAAAUUAUACCCACCCCUUCAAGCCUAUCAACUCCCAAGAUUAGGCUGGUGUAACCGAUGUGAAAUGGCUAGCUAGUUAGUGGGGUGCGCGCUAAUAGCGUUUCAAACGUCACUCGCUCUGAGACUUGGAGUAGUUGUUCCCCUUGCUCUGCAUGGGUAACGCUGCUUCGAGGGUGGGUGUUGUCGAUGUGUUUCUGGUUCGAGCUCAGGUAGGAGCGAGGAGAGGGACGGAAGAUAUACUGUUACACUGGCAAUACUAAAGUGCCUAUUAGAACAUCCAAUAGUCAAAGGUAUAUGAAAUACAAAUCGUAUAGAGAAAUAGUCCUAUAAUUCCUAUAAUAACUACAACCUAAAACUUCUUACCUGGGAAUAUUGAAGACUCAUGUUAAAAGGAACCACCAGCCUUCAUAUGUUCCCAUGUUCUGAGCAAGGCACUUAAACGUUAGCUUUCUUACAUGGCACAUAUUGCACUUUUACUUUCUUCUCCAACACUUUGUUUUGCAUUAUUUAAACCAAAUUGAACAUGUUUCAUUAUUUAUUUGAGGCUAAAUUGAUUUUAUUGAUGUAUUAUAUUAAGUUAAAAUAAGUGUUCAUUCAGUAUUGUUGUAAUUGUCAUUAUUACAAAUAAAUACAUUGUGUAAAAAAUUGGCCGAUUAAUCGGUAGCGGCUUUUUUGGCCCUCCAAUAAUUGGUAUCGGUGUUGAAAAAUCAUUAUCGGUCGACCUCUAGUAGGGACCCUGUGUCACGCCCUGAUCUGUUUCACCUGCUCCUGUUAUUGUCUCCACCCCCUCUAGGUGUCGCUUAUUUUCCCCAGUGUAUUUAUCCUUGUGUUUCCUGUCUCUCUGUGCCAGUUCGUCUUUAUGUUAGUUAAGUCAACCAGUGUGUUUUUCCCGUACUCCCUUUUUUAUUCUCUUUUUGAUAGUCUUCCCGGUUUUGACCCCUGCCUGACUCAGGACUACUUUUCCGCCUGCCUGAUCAUCCUGCCUGCCCUGACCUUGAUUCUGCCUGCCCUUCGGUACCUUUUGGACUCCAAACUGGUUUUGACCCUUUGCCUGUCUGCGACCAUUCUCUUGCUUUACCCUAUUGGAUGAAUAAAUAUUGUAAGACUCCAACCAUCUGCCUCCUGUGUCGGCUUCUGGGUCUCGCCUUGUGUCAUGAUACCCUAGGCAUCUUUCUUUUGGUGUUUUUCAGAGUCAGUAGAAAGGCCUCUUUAGUGUCCUAAGUUUUCAUAACUGUGACCUUAAUUGCCUACCGUCUGUAAGCUGUUAGUGUCUUAACGACCGUUCCACAGGUGCAUGUUCAUUAAUUGUUUAUGGUUCAUUGAACAAGCAUGGGAAACAGUGUUUAAACCCUUUACAAUGAAGAUCUGUGAAGUUAUUGGGAUUUUUACGAAUUAUCUUUGAAAGACAGUGUCUUGAAAAAGGGACAUUUCUUUUCUUGCUGAGUUUAAAUUACACCAAAUACCAGUUUGAUAACAGUUGAAUAGUUAGUAAGCCGGUAAUAAGUGUUUGUUACAUAGAAUACAACAGGUGCAUAAACUAAUACACAAAGAC